rnacentral:rRNA from 1 species
GACAGAGGGUGCAAACGUUGUUCGGAAUUACUGGGCGUAAAGCGCGUGUAGGCGGCUGUGCAAGUCGGAUGUGAAAUCCCGUGGCUCAACCACGGAAGUGCACCCGAAACUGCGCAGCUGGAGUCUCGGAGAGGAAGGUGGAAUGCUUGGUGUAGAGGUGAAAUUCGUAGAUAUCAAGCGGAACACCGGUGGCGAAGGCGGCCUUCUGGACGAUGACUGACGCUGAGGUGCGAAAGCGUGGGGAGCAAACAGG